GACGAACGCUGGCGGCGUGCCUAAUACAUGCAAGUCGAACGCAGUGGGGACGGUUGAGUAACACGUGGGUAACCUCCCAUCAGAGGGGAUAACACUUGGAAACAGGUGCUAAACCGAUACUGGUGUAUGUGCCCGCGGUGCAUUAGCUAGUUGGUGGGGUAACGGCUCACCAAGGCCACGAUGCAUCGCCGAACUGAGAGGGGGAUAGGCCACAGUGGGACUGAGACACGGCCCAGACUCCGACGGGAGGCAGCAGUAGGGAAUAUUGGACAAUGGGCGAAAGCCUGAUCCAGCCAUGCAGCGUGUGUGAAGAAGGUCUUCGGAUUGUAAAGCACUUUAAGGGGGGAGGCGUUACCAACAGAAUAAGCACCGGCUAACUUCGUGCCAGCAGCCGCGGUAAUAC
rnacentral:rRNA from 1 species